rnacentral:rRNA from 1 species
AAAUUGAAGAGUUUGAUCAUGGCUCAGAUUGAACGCUGGCGGCAGGCCUAACACAUGCAAGUCGAGCGGAAACGAGUUAUCUGAACCCUCGGGGGACGAUAACGGCGUCGAGCGGCGGACGGGUGAGUAAUGCCUAGGAAAUUGCCCUGAUGUGGGGGAUAACCAUUGGAAACGAUGGCUAAUACCGCAUAAUGCCUUCGGGCCAAA